rnacentral:rRNA from 1 species
GACGAACGCUGGCGGCGUGCUUAACACAUGCAAGUCGAACGAUGAAGCCGGAGCUUGCUCUGGUGAAUUAGUGGCGAACGGGGGAGUAACACGUGAGUAACCUGCCCUUGACUCUGGGAUAACUGCGGGAAACUGUAGCUAAUACCGGAUAUGAGACCCUGGGGCUUCCCAGGGUCUGGAAAGAAUGUCGGUGAAGGAUGAGCUCGCGGCCUAUCAGCUAGUUGGUGAGGUAAUGGCUCACCAAGGCGACGACGGGUAGCCGGGCUGAGAGGGUGACCGGCCACACUGGGACUGAGACACGGCCCAGACUCCUACGGGAGGCAGCAGUGGGGAAUAUUGCACAAUGGGCGAAAGCCUGAUGCAGCAACGCCGCGUGAGGGAUGAAGGCCUUCGGGUUGUAAACCUCUUUUAGUAGGGAAGAAGCGCAAGUGACGGUACCUACAGAAAAAGCACCGGCUAACUACGUGCCAGCCGCCGCGGUAA